AGCGGCAAGGUUAAGUCGUAAGACGAAGCCGUAGCGAAAGCGAGUCCGAAAUGGGCGCACAGUCGCUGGGAGUAGACCCGAAACCCGGUGAUCUACCCAUGUCCAGGAUGAAACGAGGGUAAAACCUCGUGGAGGUCCGAACUCACUACAGUUGAAAAUGUAGGGGAUGAGGUGUGGGUCGGAGUGAAAGGCUAAUCAAACCGGGAGAUAGCUGGUUCUCGCCGAAAGAUAUUUAGGUAUCGCCUCGGAAAACUCUGUCGAGGAGGUAGAGCACUGGAUGGGCUAGGGGUCUUACCAGAUUACCAAACCCAACCAAACUCCUAAUGCCUCGACAUUUACUCCGGAGUCAGGCUGUGGGAGCUAAGUUCCAUGGCCAAAAGGAAAGAGCCAGACCGCCAGCUAAGGUCCCUAAGUCGUUGCUAAGUGGUAAAGGAUGUGGAAGCACACAGACAACCAGGAGGUUGGCUUAGAAGCAGCCAUCCUUUAAAGAAAGCGUAAUAGCUCACUGGUCAAGUGAGUCCGCGCCGAAAA
rnacentral:rRNA from 1 species